rnacentral:lncRNA from 1 species
UUUACAAUAAGUAGGAUCAGAAGAUCAUAUCAAAAUACAUCUUGAAUAGCACCCAAAUGAACUUCAAAUGGUCCCAAAAAACCAAUCACAAUAACAGAAUCCCAAAAUCCACUUGAAACCCCAACUAGAAAAACAUAUAGGCUUCAAUCCCAAGAGAUUGAACUAAGGAAUGCAAAUCAACCACUAAAACAUAAAUUUUACAGAAAACAAACUGAAUAAAACAGUAUUUUUUGUUUUGCUGGAUUUUUUUUGGUUUUAUACGAAAUUGAAAUCUGCUUCAUAUCUUAAAAAUUUAGAAUGGAAAGAGUUUAGGAGCUCA